GCAGAGCUAGAGCAGAAUAAGGUUUCUUGCAAAUGUUGGAAUUUUAAAUAAUGUGGACUCUGAGAAUGUGGAGUGAGCCUUCUAACGAGAGAUAAUGUAUGGCUAUGAGCUAUUCUCCAUCAUUGGUGGUGUAUGCAUUGGCAACAGGCUCAAAAGUUGGAAGCAUAUCGUAUUAUUUCCAUCCAUCCAUUUAAAAGAAAAGACAGCAACCUAUGCACGCAAACACAAUGCGGAGAGAUCAGAUUAGUGAUCAGUGUGGUGUGGAAGUCACUUUUGGCAGCAAAGUCACCAAAUACACGUCACACCACACAUACGAUCGAGAGUGGGAAACACCUAUCUCCUCAUUUGAGCUGAUCAUGUCACUUUUUGGCUUUUGGGGAUACAUUUAUCUUCCUGCCUGCUGCUAUAUAUUCCCUUCAUUCAUAUCCUAAUAAGCCCAUAUAUUCAUAAA
rnacentral:misc_RNA from 1 species